rnacentral:rRNA from 1 species
AGCAGCCGCGGUAAUUCCAGCUCCAAUAGCGUAUAUUAAAGUUGUUGCAGUUAAAAAGCUCGUAGUUGAACUUCGGGGUUUACCCAUUGGUCAGGCUUAAUUGUCUGUACUGGUGAGAUAAAUCUCUACCUUCUGAGGAACUUUCGUGCCAUUUAGUUGGUGUGAUAGGAAAUCAGGACUGUUACUUUGAAAAAAUUAGAGUGUUUAAAGCAGGCUAACGUCUGAAUACAUUAGCAUGGAAUAAUGAAAUAGGACGGAUUGGUUCUAUUUCGUUGGUUUCUAGGAUCACCGUAAUGAUUAAUAGGGAUAGUUGGGGGCAUUAGUAUUCAAUUGUCAGAGGUGAAAUUCUUGGAUUUAUUGAAGACUAACUAUUGCGAAAGCAUUUGCCAAG